UGCGGCUGGAUCACCUCCUUUCUAAAGAAGAUGUUGAGUAUCAUUGAAUUUAUUGAGUGAUCUGAACGUUUUUUGAAGAAUAAAGGCUUUUAAUUAAGCUUGAUAUAAAUUUGCUGUUGUGAAGCAGCGUUUUUAAAAGGAUCGCCGUCCAUGUUUCUCUUUCUUUUCGGAUUUUUU
rnacentral:misc_RNA from 1 species